AAUUUUCCACUAAAUUUCUUUUCUCCUUCAUCCAUUCCCACACAUUUCACCUUCUCCCAAAUCUGGUUCAGAAAAAUCCAAACUCAAAAGGUUUCAUCCAUUCCCUGGGAAUUUUUUCGUUGCGGAGAAGGAUUUUCGUUGUUGCCGAUGUGGCUCGCUUGAAGGAUACGAAUGAGAAACUCUUCAAGUUCACUUGUCUUUUUGUCCAAUGAGGCACGUUGUUUGAAAUAGUCGGUGAUCAGGGAUCUGGGAGAAGGAAGACCAAAUGGUUUUGACAUUGCUAUGUUUUUUUUCCCUUAAGCGACAUUGCCUGGUUGAGAAAUUUAAGAGAGGAAUGUGAAAGUCACAGGUAUUGUGCAUUAUCUAUUUAGUCUUUGAUUGCCAAAUAAAAGACAAGAAGAGGUGCCCAUUUCAUGUUGCAGCAGCUAGCUUUUCCAUGUGAAUACCCACUAAUCAAGGCCGCUUGAUAUAUGGUUGAUGUAAUUGGACAAAAGCUACAAGAAUGUCUACGCUAGAUCCAUGUGAAUGUAGUCACCAUAGUGACCUUAGUAUGUUGUAACCGUGUAUGUAGCUAGAAACUAUGUGUAUUGUAAAAGUUUACAUAUUAGCGAUGUAAUUGUGAGCCAUUAAA